rnacentral:rRNA from 1 species
ACGGGUGAGUAACACGUGGGUGAUCUGCCCUGCACUUUGGGAUAAGCCUGGGAAACUGGGUCUAAUACCGAAUAUGACCACGCUCUUCAUGGGGUGUGGUGGAAAGCUUUUGCGGUGUGGGAUGGGCCCGCGGCCUAUCAGCUUGUUGGUGGGGUAAUGGCCUACCAAGGCGACGACGGGUAGCCGGCCUGAGAGGGUGACCGGCCACACUGGGACUGAGAUACGGCCCAGACUCCUACGGGAGGCAGCAGUGGGGAAUAUUGCACAAUGGGCGCAAGCCUGAUGCAGCGACGCCGCGUGAGGGAUGACGGCCUUCGGGUUGUAAACCUCUUUCACCAGGGACGAAGCGCAAGUGACGGUACCUGGAGAAGAAGCACCGGCCAACUACGUGCCAGCAGCCGCGGUAAUACGUAGGGUGCGAGCGUUGUCCGGAAUUACUGGGCGUAAAGAGCUCGUAGGUGGUUUGUCGCGUUAUUCGUGAAAACUCACAGCUUAACUGUGGGCGUGCGGGCGAUACGGGCAGACUAGAGUACUGCAGGGGAGACUGGAAUUCCUGGUGUAGCGGUGGAAUGCGCAGA